CAAUAGCGUAUAUUAAAGUUGUUGCAGUUAAAAAGCUCGUAGUUGGAUUUCGGGGCAGCCUGGCUGGUCCGCCGCAAGGCGAGUACUGGUCAGCCGCCCUUCCUCUCGAAAGCCCCGACUGCUCUUCGUUGCAGUGGUCGGGUAGUUCGGGACGUUUACUUUGAAAAAAUUAGAGUGUUCAAGGCAGGCCUACGCCUGAAUACAUUAGCAUGGAAUAAUGGAAGAGGACCUCGGUCCUAUUUUGUUGGUUUCCAGGGCCGAAGUAAUGAUUAAGAGGGACAGUUGGGGGCAUUCGUAUUUAAUUGUCAGAGGUGAAAUUCUCGGAUUUAUGAAAGACGAACAACUGCGAGAGCAUUUGCCAAGGAUGUUUUCAUUAA
rnacentral:rRNA from 1 species